rnacentral:rRNA from 1 species
GGACCAUGUCGAAGUCUGACGGAGCACGCCGCGUGAGCGAUGAAGGCCUUCGGGUCUGUAAGCUCUGUUGUUAGGGAAGAACAAGUACCGGAGUAACUGCCGGUACCUUGACGGUACCUAACCAGAAAGCCACGGCUAACUACGUGCCAGCAGCCGCGGUAAUAG